GAUGAACGCUAGCUACAGGCUUAACACAUGCAAGUCGAGGGGCAGCGCAGUGUAGCAAUACAUGGGCGGCGACCGGCGCACGGGUGCGUAACGCGUAUCCAACCUUCCCGUUACUCAGGGAUAGCCUUCCGAAAGGGAGAUUAAUACCUGAUGGUGUUGAAAUUCCGCAUGUUAUUUCAACUAAAGAUUUAUCGGUAACGGAUGGGGAUGCGUGACAUUAGAUAGUAGGCGGGGUAACGGCCCACCUAGUCUACGAUGUCUAGGGGUUAUGAGAGGAAGGUCCCCCACACUGGAACUGAGACACGGUCCAGACUCCUACGGGAGGCAGCAGUGAGGAAUAUUGGUCAAUGGUCGGAAGACUGAACCAGCCAAGUAGCGUGAAGGAUGAAGGUUCUAUGGAUUGUAAACUUCUUUUAUACGGGAAUAAAACCUCCCACGUGUGGGAGCUUGUAUGUACCGUAUGAAUAAGCAUCGGCUAACUCCGUGCCAGCCGCCGCCGUAACAC
rnacentral:rRNA from 1 species